CCUGAGGAAACCCUGGAGUGAAUGAAUAUUUGAAGAAAAAAAAAAUUUAGCUUUCUCUUGACUAGAUCCUUUCAUACUUGGAAAUAUAUUCUAAGUAUUAAAUUACGACAACAAAGGAUGUUUAAAGAAGAUUCCAAACUUCAUCAUUAAGGAAAGCCACUGCUGCUCCCUUGAGGAAAAGGCAAUGACUAUCUGGAGGAUCCAGCUUGGAUAAAAUGCACAAAGAACGCUCAGUUACUGUUUUCUUCUGUUGUUACCCAAUGGCCUCCAACACCAAGAAGGGUGAUGAUAUCAUGUUUAUGUGGUAGUAGUUGUAAUUUUUCAGCUGGUUCGUCAUCUUUACUAUAUAACCUCACUUACAGAGGAAUUGUUUAAAAAGAAAGAGAGGGAGAGAACAUAUAUUUUAUAGUAAUCUGAUAAAAAUUUAUUCUUCAAACUAGUUCUCUUUACUUUUAAUGUAAUAAGGAAGCAUUUUUCUUAGAACAAGGUAACAUAUGAUGUAUUCAGACACCUUAAAAUACACUUUUGCAUUAAAACUGUUCAUAAAAUUUACUUUAGAUUUAAUUAUAAAUGAGAUAACUAAAGAUAAAAUGACCCUUUUAAUUUGAAAAUCAGACAAGAUAACAACACACACAGCUAAGUCUGACUGUUUUAAUCAUACCAUUGAUAGCUUAAUACUUUGGGAAAAGUUGACUUCUGAGUAAGGAAUUCAUAGAUUCAAGAAUGUCCUGCUUUGACAUAAUUAUUGAAAUGUCCAUUUGAAAAGUUAAUGAACUAUACAUUCACUUCCACUGAAAGAUUUUUCUGAGUUAAUUUCAAAUCUUGAAAAUACUGGCUAAAAGAAACAGCUAUGGCCAUAGCUCCAUUUGUUAUGAUCUUAGAAGAUAAAUUCUAACAAAAUAUAAAUAGAAUCCCUUGGCAGGCUUGUGAAUCCUAUUCUUAAGGUGCAGUGGCACUACCUAAGUGUGUAGAGAUUAGGUGUUAAAUAGCUAUUGGUUAAGCUACAAAAGUUCAAGGAAGGUAAAAUGCAAAAAAAAUCUGUGCAUUUUCCAAAAAGGGACUGCAGAAGCUCACCAUCCCUCAGAGGGCAGCCAUACAUAGCAGAAACAAGUGACUGGCUGAGACCUGAACGAAUCCAAGAACCUCUGAACCCGUGAAGAAUCCACCUGCCAAUGCAGGAGACGCAGGUUCAAUCCCUGGGUCAGGAAGAGCCCUCUGGGAGAUAGCAGUCCACUCCAGUAUUUUUGCCUGGAAGAUACCAUGGACAGAGGAGCGUGGCGGGCUGCUGCUCACCAGGAGUUGGACGUGACUGAGUGAGUGAGCACAGCCAGCACAAGUACAACCAGGGAGGCCCCGGACCUCUUGUAGAUCCUUAAACCCCCGUGCCUGGGCCUCACAGGGCGUCCCAGGCGGCACCAUCGGUAGAGAAGUGAAAGUGAAUGUCGAGCAGUCUCUCUGAGGCCCCAUGGAAUUCUCCAGGCCAGCAUGCUGGAGUGGGUAACUGUUCCCUUCUCCAGAGGAUCUUCCCAACCCAGGGACUGAACCCAAAUCUCCCACAUUGCAGGUGGAUUCUUCACCGACUGAACCACCAGGGAAGCCCUCAGGGGUAAAGAACUGGCCUGCUAAUGCAGGAGACGUGAGACAAGGGUUCAGUCCCCAAGUUGGGAAGAUCCCCUGGAGGAGGGCAUAGGAAAUCACUCCAGUAUUCCUGCCUGGACAGAGGAGCUUGGUGGGCCAUAGCCCAUAGGGUUGCAGAGUCGGACAUGACUGAAGCCACUAAGCAAGCAUGCAUACCUUUUUAAAAGGUGAGCAUGUUCUCUCUUCCGACAGUGCUUAAAAUGGGAAUAAAAUGAAGCUCCAAUUCAAAACAUUAAGUUAAAAAAAAAAAACUCUCCGGAGAAGGCAAUGGCACCCCACUCCAGGACUCUUCCCUGGAAAAUCCCAUGGAAGGAGGAGCCUGGUAGGCUGCAGUCCAUGGGGUCGCAAAGAGUUGGACAUGACUGAGUGACUUCACUUUCACUUUUCACUUUUCUGCAUUCAUUGGAGAAGGAAAUGGCAACCCACUCCAGUGUUCUUGCCUGGAGAAUCCCAGGGAUGGGGUCGCACAGAAUCGGACACGACUGAAGUGACUUAGUAGUAGCAGUGUGUGUGCUUUGGAGAAACUCAGGAAACGGAGUCAGUGACUGAAAUGGCCCAAGAUAUCACCUUAGAUAGCCAUCUUCAUCUAAAAACAAAACAGGGGCUUCCUGGUGGUCGAGUGGCUAAGACUGGACACUCCCAAAGAAGGAGGCCCUGGUUCAAUCCCUGAUCUGAAAACUAAAUCUCCCAGGAAAAAAAAAAACUCUCAACCUCAACCUAAUAAAUAUAUAAGUAAUUACUUCUUGGUUAUAUUUUUUCCCAGAAAUUUACCCAUCACAAUAAAAAAAUGACAGAGAUCACUGAUUUAGUGAAUACCCACCUCCAGCAUCUAGGACAAUGUCCACUCCGAGGCCACCCGUUUCUUCUAAACAGCUGUCAGUCACGUGGGCUUUCCCGUUAGACACAUCGAUCACUCGAGCUGCGAAGGACAGAAAGUCAGGCGACUGUGCUGUUCUCUAUGUGAUCAGCACAGCUCCCAGAAGGAGAGAAGGAAAAGCAACUCAAUUUCUCGUCUCUGAAAUGAAUUAAAUGGUUGAAGCAGUUAUUAAA